GCUUCCCUGGCUCAGUUGGUUAGAGCGUCAGUCUCAUAAUAAUGCGUAAAAGUGGUUUACUUAAUCUGAAGGUCGUGAGUUCGACCCUCACGGGGAGCA